rnacentral:rRNA from 1 species
CCUACGGGGUGCAGCAGUGGGGGAUAUUGCACAAUGGGGGAAACCCUGAUGCAGCGACGCCGCGUGGGUGAAGAAGCGCCUCGGCGCGUAAAGCCCUGUCAGCAGGGAAGAAAAUGACGGUACCUGAAGAAGAAGCCCCGGCUAACUACGUGCCAGCAGCCGCGGUAAUACGUAGGGGGCAAGCGUUAUCCGGAUUUACUGGGUGUAAAGGGGGCGCAGACGGCGAUGCAAGCCAGGGGUGAAAGCCCGGGGCCCAACCCCGGGACUGCUCUUGGAACUGCGUGGCUAGAGUGCAGGAGGGGCAGGCGGAAUGCCUGGUGUAGCGGUGAAAUGCGUAGAUAUCAGGAGGAACACCGGUGGCGAAGGCGGCCUGCUGGACUGCAACUGACGUUGAGGCCCGAAAGCGUGGGGAGCAAACAGGAUUAGAUACCCGAGUAGUC